AGUUGAGAGAGAAUCAGUAUCUAUUUAUUUAAUAAUAAACAAAAAAAAAUUGUUAAUAAUAAUAAUAAUGAAUCGUUUUAUUGUAUUAUUAUAAUCAGUCGUCUGUACUGCUAUUCUAUCAAUCAUACCGGCCUUAGCUCAGGAUGAAGGUGGCGAUCAAGGGGUAGCCGGAGGUGAAUCUGGAGACUCUGGAGUAGGUGGGCCUCCAUUUAAUCAAUGGGGUGGCUAAACAAAUAAACAUCAAUCAAUCAAUCAAACAACAAAAAUUUAACCAAAAAUUAAACAACAAUUUUAAUUAUAAAUUAUCUAAAUAUAUUUAUAUAUAAUUACU